rnacentral:rRNA from 1 species
AUCUUGGCCACAUCGACUACCAAAGUAAUGGUCAAUGGGGAACCGGGAGAUACAAUCUACAACUACAAGGGAAUGCGACAAGGGGACUCACUAUCUCCUAUGUUGUUCAUACUCACCAUGGAACUGCUACAGAGAUUGUUUGACGUAGCUAUAGACUGAGGUAUGUUGGAGCCCUUGGCUACGGUGGGCAUGAAGCAAAGGCUGUCAAUAUACGCGGAUGAUGUGCUCUUGUUCAUAUAA